rnacentral:rRNA from 1 species
UACGUAGGGUGACCAGCGUUGUCCGGAUUUACUGGGCGUAAAGAGCGCGCAGGCGGUCGUUCAAGUCGAGUGUGAAAGCCCCCGGCUCAACUGGGGAGGGUCACUCGAUACUGAUCGACUUGAAGGCAGGAGAGGGAAGCGGAAUUCCCGGUGUAGAGGUGAAAUUCGUAGAUAUCGGGAGGAACACCAGUGGCGAAGGCGGCGAUCUGGGAAGAUACUGACGCUGAGGUGCGAAAGCGUGGGGAGCAAACAGGG